AUUGAACGCUGGCGGCAGGCCUAACACAUGCAAGUCGAACGGGAGGCGGACGGGUUAGUUAUGAAUGGGACACUGACUGGUGGAGGGGGAUAACUACCGGGAGCGGAAACUAAUACCGCAUACCAUAGGAUAGGCCCAAUUAGGAUUAGCUAGGGUGUGGGGUAACGGCUCACCUAGGCGACGAUCCGUAGCUGGUCUGAGAGGAUGACCAGCCACACUGGAACUGAGACACGGUCCAGACUCCUACGGGAGGCAGCAGUGGGGAAUAUUGCACAAUGGGCGCAAGCCUGAUGCAGCCAUGCCGCGUGUAUGAAGAAGGUCUUCGGGUUGUAAAGUACUUUCAGCUGGGAGGCGUUACCCGCAGAAGAAGCACCGGCUAACUCCGUGCCAGCAGCCGCGGUAAUAC
rnacentral:rRNA from 1 species